CAACUACCCGGCACCCACUGCUCUCCAGCUGCCAUCGCUCCAGCAGCAGAUAGGUGCCCAGCACGCUCACCGCCGGUGGGUACGUGAGAGAGGCUACGCCGCACGGGGAUAAAAGUUAAAGAAACAGCUCUGCGGUCACGGCAGGGUUAAAAUACAGCCUCCAAGCCUUUAUCCCCUCACUGCUGUACGACUGCUCCGGUACACCAACGGGAACGGCAAGAGCAGCGUUUAGAAGUGAACAGAAAGUUAUCAAACUUCCGACGCGAAGCUGUAUUUAAAGCCCAGAAAUACGGAGUUUGGGGCACCGCUUCAACACUUCUCCAGCUCUCCUUUCCACACCUCCGGGGCCACCGGCGCGCUCCGCGGUUCAUCGCGCGGCACGUCCCCCCUCCGGCGCUUUAAACCUUACCUAAACGCCCCCCGCGCUGGGGAACGGAGGCAGCAGGUGUGUUGUGCUGUACGUAAAAGCAGCUGUGCCAACAACACUGUGUGCAGGAAGGGCAUCAGCCUUGUAGCCAUGGCAGCUCAAAGACGUGAGAGGUAAAGUUUGCGGGAAAAAGUAACUCACCUCCUUGAUUAGAGCAACCGCUUUAUUCAUU
ensembl:lncRNA